rnacentral:rRNA from 1 species
AACGAACGCUGGCGGCAUGCCUAACACAUGCAAGUCGAACGAGACCUCCGGGUCUAGUGGCGCACGGGUGCGUAACGCGUGGGAACCUGCCCUUAGGUUCGGAAUAACUCCCCGAAAGGGGUGCUAAUACCGGAUAAUGUCUUCGGACCAAAGAUUUAUCGCCUUUGGAUGGGCCCGCGUUGGAUUAGCUAGUUGGUAGGGUAAAAGCCUACCAAGGCUACGAUCCAUAGCUGGUCUGAGAGGAUGAUCAGCCACACUUGGACUGAGACAUGGCCCGGACUCCUACGGAAGGCAGCAGUGGUGGAUAUAGGAAUACGGGCGAAGGGAUGAAGGAGCAAUGCCGGGUGAGUGAUGAAGGCCGUAGAGAAGUAAAGCUCUUUUACCCGGGAUGAUAAUGACAGUACCGGAAGAAUAAGCUCCGGCUAACUACGUG